rnacentral:rRNA from 1 species
GACGAACGCUGGCGGCGUGGAUUAGGCAUGCAAGUCGAACGGUAGGGAUCCUUCGGGAUUCUGAGAGUGGCGAACGGGUGAGUAACACGUAGGUGAUCUACCCUCAAGACGGGGACAACCCAGGGAAACUUGGGCUAAUACCGGAUGAUAGUGCUCUUAGGAGCAUUUAAAAGAUGGCUUCGGCUGUCGUUUGGGGAUGAGCCUGCGCUCUAUUAGUUAGUUGGUGAGGUAACGGCUUACCAAGGCGAUGAUAGAUAGGCGGCCUUAACGGGUGGUCGCCCACACUGGGAUUGAGAUACGGCCCAGACUCCUACGGGUGGCAG